UGUUCACUUUAUAAAUCAAAGUGGCACUUUCUAUUUAAACGUGUUCACUUUGACAUUUAAGAAUUUAGUAGUUUAAACAAGAUACAAGAAUGACCAGUCAGGGUAAAAUUAUACCGGAAAACGACUUGCUGCAAAUGUUUGGCAACGAUAUCCAAAUUAAUGAGCAGGGUGAUUUAACGUACACGUGUGUUGAGGAAGAUACGGAUCUCCUUAAUCUGCUAAAGGAGUUUGAUCUGGAAACACUUUUUCUUGGCCAAAAAAAUGCUGGAAUAACUUUUCGAAGCUUAAAAUAUUUGUCGAAAGAAGACAUUGCGGAAGCAGUAAAAAAUAUUGGUCUUCGAGCAGAGUUUAGAGAAAAGUUGUUUUUCUGGCGCAAGUCAAAGUUUGGAAUAGAAGACGAAACGUUGAGCCAGACUUCAAAAGUUGUUGGUUGGCUAGAAAAAAACCGUCACAAAGAUUCACCUUGUUCUUCAAAUAAUUCAAUAAGAAACGCAUUUGGAUCACAGCCCCUUUCAACAUUUUUAAACUCUAACUCAGCCGGAAAACAACUUAUUCAAUAUUAUGAGGAAUGGGCAUGUUUUACGAAUAAGCAACGCGAUGCCCUCAUUAAAAUAAUUUUAGAAGAUGUCAUGUAAACAAAGACAAAGCUUAGACCAGAACACUUUGCUAGUAUUGUGGAAGAAAUAAUUGGUUUAUUUCCCAAUGAAAAAGAGUCCCAGGAUUAUUACUACAUUCUUCGUCAAAGAAAAAAAAAACCCAUCGGGCAAGCUCUAUUCCAAAUAUUUUAAUUUAAAGACAAAGAUUAGAAAGAGUAGUCCAUCCGCGGAAAGAUCUCUUUCGAGUGAAGUACGUGAUCCAUUAGUAGACGAAAAUGUUGAAGUUGACGAAACGCUGUUGUUAUGUUUAAAAACUUCGCUUCAAAAAGAUAUCAAUAAUUGGGAUGAGGUUAUUGACAAAUGGCAAAAAACAUUUACAUUUCGGAAAAAGGAUUUGGCAAAGCUUUCGAAUUCUGAUUUUUUGCAAGAGUGGCCAAUUUUAAUCGACUCCAGAGCACCAUUUCUAAUUAAUCUAGAUUUCAAUUUGAUUUAUCCAGCAAAAGAAUCUUUUAAAAACAAAGUGGGAUAAUUUUAAAACCAAGAUAAUGAACUACUACUAUGCCAACAUACGGAAUCAGCAAUCAAUAGAUCUUUUGAACCAAGCAAAAACGACGAAAAAAAUUGUUCUGCUGCCUUCAGCAAGAUUUAGUGUAGAUGGAAAUACCAAAAAGAAAGCCACCAUUAAAGAUGCUAAUGAAAGCUUCGUAUUGCAGUUAACAACAAUUAGCGAUUACUCAAUACGAAUAAAAGAAAUUAUCGGUAAAUAUUUUUAUAAUAAAUUGACUGUACAGCCGUUUAUAAUUGUGGUAGGAGACUCUGAGGACGAUCUUAAAACCUUUUACAUUUACUUUGACAAAACUUUGUACAAACUAAAUUCUUUUAUUGAAAGUUUGGAUAUAUGCUUUAAAAUCUUUCACGUGUUUAAUCUUAAAUAUCCUAAGAUCUGCGAAAUGCCAUGGAUAUUUAUCCAAAAGUAUUUUUAUGAAUUAGAUUCAAAAUUUGAUUUAAAAAGUUCAAAUCUUACUUCAUUGUUAACACAUAUGAAUGAAAAAAAUUAAAUUUUGUAAAUUUUCCGAUUGUAAUAAUGUAUAAAUGUUUCAGAUGUUUUCAGUUAUUUAA